GAUGAACGCUGGCGGCGUGCCUAAUACAUGCAAGUCGAGCGAACAGAUGAGGAGCUUGCUCCUCUGACGUUAGCGGCGGACGGGUGAGUAACACGUGGAUAACCUACCUAUAAGACUGGGAUAACUUCGGGAAACCGGAGCUAAUACCGGAUAAUAUAUUGAACCGCAUGGUUCAAUAGUGAAAGACGGUUUUGCUGUCACUUAUAGAUGGAUCCGCGCCGCAUUAGCUAGUUGGUAAGGUAACGGCUUACCAAGGCAACGAUGCGUAGCCGACCUGAGAGGGUGAUUCGGCCAACUGGAAACGAGAAACGGUCCCGACUCCUAAGGGAGGGAGGAGUAGGGAAUUUUCCGCAAUGGGGGAAAGCCUGACGGAGCAAAGCCGCGUGAGUGAUGAAGGUCUUCGGAUCUGAAAACUCUGUUAUUAGGGAAGAAAAAAUGUGUAAGUAAAUAUGCACGUCUUGACGGUACCUAAUCAGAAAGCCACGGCUAAAUACGUG
rnacentral:rRNA from 1 species